GACGAACGCUGGCGGCGUGCUUAACACAUGCAAGUCGAACGGAAAGGCCCUGCUUGCAGGGUGCUCGAGUGGCGAACGGGUGAGUAACACGUGGGUGAUCUGCCCCUUACUUUGGGAUAGCCUGGGAAACUGGGUCUAAUACUGGAUAGGACCAUGCUGUAGGUGGUGUGGUGGAAAGAUUAGUUUCGGUAAGGGAUGAGCUCGCGGCCUAUCAGCUUGUUGGUGGGGUAAUGGCCUACCAAGGCGUCGACGGGUAGCCGGCCUGAGAGGGUGGACGGCCACAUUGGGACUGAGAUACGGCCCAGACUCCUACGGGAGGCAGCAGUGGGGAAUAUUGCACAAUGGGCGCAAGCCUGAUGCAGCGACGCCGCGUGGGGGAUGACGGCCUUCGGGUUGUAAACUCCUUUCAGCCAUGACGAAGCCCUUGUGGUGACGGUAGUGGUAGAAGAAGCACCGGCUAACUACGUG
rnacentral:rRNA from 1 species